GACAGAGGUGGCAAGCGUUGUUCGGAUUCAUUGGGUGUAAAGGGUGCGUAGGCGGUUUGGAAAGUCGGACGUGAAAGCCCACAGCUUAACUGUGGUAAAUGCGUCCGAAACUUCUAGACUAGAGUGCGAGAGAGGUGAAGGGAAUUCCCGGUGUAAGGGUGAAAUCUGCAGAGAUCGGGAGGAACACCAGUAGCGAAGGCGCUUCACUGGCUCGCAACUGACGCUGAGUGCACGAAGGUAUGGGGAGCAAACGGGAUUAGAAACCCCGGUAGU
rnacentral:rRNA from 1 species